AUCCAAUGGACGAGUUCUGAAUAGGACGAAACACGUGUCAUGGAU
rnacentral:hammerhead_ribozyme from 1 species